UGUUCCACACGGUCGUCAUUGAGCACCAUGUCAUGCUGUUGUUGCCACACCAUUGCUAGUUGCAUUUGAGUUGCUCCUUUGUAUAUAUCUUGAAAGUGUUUCCGUUCAUGGUUUUGCAGCUGUCAACUUGAAGGUUGUCUUUCUACCCUUACUGGCCUUUGAAGUAAUUAUUCUAAUUGACAAUUUCAGGUAUCUCCUUUGACAUUUACU